UACGUAGGGAGCAAGCGUUGUCCGGAAUCAUUGGGCGUAAAGCGCGCGUAGGUGGCCAUGUAAGUCCGCUGUGAAAGUCAAAGGCUCAACCUUUGAAAGCCGGUGGAUACUGCAUGGCUAGAGUACGGAAGAGGCGAGUGGAAUUCCUGGUGUAGCGGUGGAAUGCGCAGAUAUCAGGAGGAACACCAAUAGCGAAGGCAGCUCGCUGGGACGUUAACUGACACUGAGGCGCGAAAGCGUGGGGAGCGAACAGGA
rnacentral:rRNA from 1 species